GACGAACGCUGGCGGCGUGCUUAACACAUGCAAGUCGAGCGGAAAGGCCCUUUCGGGGGUACUCGAGCGGCGAACGGGUGAGUAACACGUGAGUAAUCUGCCCUUCACUUCGGGAUAACUAUCGGAAACGGUGGCUAAUACCGGAUAUGACCCGUCACCGCAUGGUGUGUUGGUGGAAAGAUUUAUUGGUGGGGGAUGUGCUCGCGGCCUAUCAGCUUGUUGGUGAGGUAAUGGCUCACCAAGGCUUCGACGGGUAGCCGGCCUGAGAGGGUGACCGGCCACACUGGGACUGGGACACGGCCCAGACUCCUACGGGAGGCAGCAGUGGGGAAUAUUGGACAAUGGGCGUAAGCCUGAUCCAGCAACGCCGCGUGAGGGAUGGCGGCCUUCGGGUUGUAAACCUCUUUCGGUACCGACGAAGCGAGAGUGACGGUAGGUACUAAAGAAGCACCGGCCAACUACGUGCCAGCAGCCGCAGUAACAC
rnacentral:rRNA from 1 species